ACCCUCCCAAGUAGCUAGGACUACAAGUGUGUACCACCAUGCCCAGCUAAUUUAUUGUAUUUUUGUAGAGAUGGGGUCUUACUAUGAUGCCAAGCUAAUUUAUUUUUAUUUUUGUUUUUUUAGUGAUGGGGUCUUGCUAUGUUGCCCAGGCUGGUCUUGAACUCCUGGCCUCAAGUGAUCCUCCCACCUUGACCUCCCAAACCACUGGGAUUAUAGGAAUGAGCCACCACACCCAGCCUCUGUGCCACAUUUAGGCCUCCGUGUUCCCUGAGACCCAACAAAACCCAGCAAUGAUUAAGGUCUGUAGAGACUGGCAUCUUGAAAGCCAAAUUAGGCUGAAACCUGGGCCUUGUGGACCAAACAGCCAAGUUGCGAAUACAAAGGAAAAAUCCUUGAAGAAAAUUCAGGCCAGGUCACUCAUUCUGGGAGAAGCCACCUGACUCACUGUAGUAACUGCAGACAGACCCAUGUGACAAGGAACUGACAUCUCUGGCCAACAGCCAGCAAGGAACAUAAGCCAGCUAGCAAACACUGGUGGAGCUUGGAAGUGGGUUCUCCAGGCCCAGGUAAG
rnacentral:lncRNA from 13 species